rnacentral:rRNA from 1 species
UGGGGAAUAUUGGACAAUGGGGGAACCCCUGAUCCAGAAAUGCCGCGUGUGUGAAGAAGGCCUGCGGGUUGUAAAGCACUUUCAGUAGGGAAAAAAUCAAUGACGGUACAUACAAAAGAAGCACCGGCUAACUCCGUGCCAGCAGCCGCGGUAAUACGGAGGGUGCGAGCGUUAAUCGGAAUUACUGGGCGUAAAGAGCACGUAGGUGGUUUGGUAAGUCGGAUGUGAAAGCCCCGGGCUUAACCUGGGAAUUGCAUUCGAAACUGCCUCACUAGAGUCUAGCAGAGGGAUGCGGAAUUCCGGGUGUAGCGGUGAAAUGCGUAGAGAUCCGGAGGAACAUCAGUGGCGAAGGCGGCAUCCUGGGCUAAGACUGACACUGAGGUGCGAAAGCGUGGGGAGCAAACAGGAUUAGAUAC